rnacentral:lncRNA from 1 species
ACACAACACUUUUAGUUUUCACUCACAGUUCUCUCUUCGCCCGUCCGUUCUCCACCUCUGCUCGACGCCACCGCCGGUCGCCCUCGACGCCACUGCCGCUGAUCUCUGCUCGAGGGUUGAGGCCACCUUCGCUCGCCCUCGAUGGCACCGCGGCUGACCUCUGGCUCGCUGUUUGCCCUCAACGGCACCAUCGCUCGCCCUCAACACCACCGCUCACUAAUCCCUGCUCGAGGCCACCUCCUCUCGCCCUUGACGGCACCGCCGCUAACCUCUGGCUCGCCGCUUGCCCUCGACGCCACCGUCGCUCACCCUCGACGCCACCACUCGCUGACCCCUGCUCGAGCCCACCUCCGCUCUCCCUCGACGGCACCACCGCUGACCUCUGGCUCGCCGCUCGCCCUCGACGCCACCGCCACUCGCCCUCGACGCCACCGAUGACCUCUACUCGGCAAGCC